rnacentral:misc_RNA from 1 species
GAGAGAGAGGAAGGUCGCGCUCGUGUGACGGCAACAACGACGGUGACAACGACGACGGCGGCGGCGAUUACCGCCGAGCUCGCACGUCGUUGGCGGCGACAGCGGCGGCGGCGACUGCGUUCUGUUAUUAUUUUGCCGCGGUGCUUUUGACCCUACGUACACUGGGCGAGUUCAUUGCGACGCUCAAGCGGGGGGUGUCAGCCGGUAGUACACGUCCGCACCGCGCUCUUCUCCUCCGUCGCCUCUCCCCCUCCCCCAUCCGUCUGGCGGCAGCGCCGGCGUCGACGGAGGCGGCGGGCGCCUCGUGAUCGAGGUCGAGGAAGAACGCCGGAAGAUCGGGGCGCGUCCUUAAGGCGCCCGGUCGGUCCCGUGGGGUCCGGGGACCCCCUCAGUCUCCACUUGGAGGAAGAGGAGGAGGAGAAUUUCCAUUUUCGCGUCGCGUCGAAAAAUCGUGAAAAUCAUCGCCGAGUACGGCCAGGCGAUCGGCGAGCCAUCGUGGGAUUUCGCGCUGCACGCGGUGACGCCGACGACCAUAACCUGAAAGACCGGACAACGCGCGCGCUCUCCAACUGUCAGAUCCCCGACUCCGCUCGGCUGUCAAACGCGACUGUUCUUCGCGGCAGCUCGACUUGCUUUUCGGCGACGAGCGAGGGAGUCGUUCCGUGCGUUCGCGAGCGAAGCCGCGUCGCGUCGUUUUCGCGCUCGAAAAGUUGGCGCGCGAAUCAGCGCGCGUUGACAGCUCGGCGAUAAGGUGAUUCUCCUCCCGCCAGUGCACAUCUCGGAGAGAUAUACAUAUAUAUAUAUAUAUAUUCAGUUUUCAUUCCCCCCUCCCCCCACGUUCUGUGAAGUGAAGUGCGCGACUGUUAAAUCUGUGAAACGUACGUGAUGUGUGUGCCGCGUAUGUAACACACCCACACACGCAUACAUACACAUAUCUGUAUGAUUGAGUGCGCCCGGUAGUGCGGGUUUUCUUCCUCGUCGUCGUGCGCCGAGUGUUUUUCUCCUCCUCGAGAUUCUACCCCCGUCUGGUACCUCGUCUCCUGUUCCACGGUGUCGUCGGGAUCGUCCGAGGGGAGGAUCGAAGAGGGAAAAACGCGUUCCCGCCUGUGCGAGAGAGAGAGGAGCCGCGUCCAAGGUGUUAUCGCAUUAUCCCGCCGCCGAUUUGCAGCAUGAAGGCUGACAGCGACGCGAAGUGAAUAGGCGGUCCACUCCUCACUUCCCCCUUUCGAAAUACGCACCUGCUAACAAACAGAAAAACGAAGGCUGAACCCUCUGACUGUAUACAUAUAUAUUUAGGAAAAGGAAAAGAAAAAAAGACCGCAACGGAUCACCGCCAAACGUUAGUAAAAGUUUAGUCAAAGUGUGAGAGCGAGCGAACGAGAUAAAAAAAAAUAUAUAUAUACAUACAUAAUACACAUAUAUGUAUAUAUAUUAUAGAAAGAGAAAACACGAGAGAGAGAACGGGAGAAACACAAGAUACAUAUAAAAAUAAAUAUAUGUAUAUACAUAUAUAUAUAUAUAUAAAUAUAAGAGAAGACGAGUCUCUCGUGAGUGUGCGUGUAAAUAAGAGCUAUUUUUCGUAUGAGAGCGAGAAAAACGCGCCCUAGCCGACGAGAAGCGGGAAGCGAAACGUUCAAGAGUAGUUCCCUCGAACGAGGGGAAGAUUCAAGGUGCUUCUCCUGAAGAAGAGGGCCGAAUCGUCGGGUGAAAGACAGCAAGACGACGAAGACGACGACGAAAGAGAGCGAAAGGAUACGUCACGUCACAGUUGUUUGGACGUUGUUUCGAUGCUCCCCAAUCUGGAUCGCCAGUGUUUCUCCCUCCUACAGAGGAGUAGUCUCUCUCACGGGGGCUGACCGGGCCGAUAUAUUGGCGUAGGAAUCGUCGAGAAAGAGGCGAACGCGAAUAAUCGCGGAUAAAGCCAAGAACCGAGAAAGGGGAGAGGAAGGGGAGAGGAAAAAAGGAAGAGGAAAUAUAGAGAGCAGUUGCGUGUGCGGCAUCGAGAGAGGACCGGCUCCAUGUUGUGAGCGUCUGAGGACUGCCGAGGGCAGCAGCGAAAGGGCGGAGUAGGGUGCCACCGCCGUUAUGGAGUACGGUGGCGGGGGCGGUGGGGCACGCGGAGGUGUCCAGCCACCCUCCGCGGGGGCGAGGGGCAUCGCCGGAACUGACACUACCGACGCUGCGUGGCACAAACACGAACAAAUGAUGCUCAUGGAGUCCAGGCACAAGCAACAAUUGAGCGGGAGGACGGGGACCGGCGGUGCGCCCCUUUACGGGCGCCUGGUGGCCGAGGAGCCCAUGCCCUCCGCGGUAUGCGGUGGUGCUGGUGCCACGGGCGGCGGGGCUGCCGGCGGGGUCCCGCAGGAGACCCCCUCGGACAUUCACGCCAUGCAGGCCAGGAUACCCCACAGAUUUCGCGAUCCAGCGACGGCGCCCCUCAGGAAACUCAGCGUCGACCUCAUCAAGACCUACAAACACAUCAACGAGGUUUACUAUGCGAAGAAGAAAAGGAGGGCACAGCAGAUGCAAGGAGAGGAUGGCUCACAUAAAAAAGAGAGGAAACUCUACAACGAUGGCUGGGACGACGAUAAUCACGAUUAUAUUAUCAAGAAUGGGGAAAAGUUCCUCGAUCGAUACGAGAUCGAUUCAUUAAUAGGUAAAGGCAGUUUUGGCCAAGUAGUGAAAGCGUUUGAUCACGAAGAGCAGACGCAAGUGGCAAUAAAAAUCAUCAAGAACAAGAAGCCUUUUCUAAAUCAAGCGCAAAUUGAAGUUAGGCUAUUGGAAAUGAUGAACAGAGCGGAUACCGACAACAAGUAUUAUAUAGUUAAACUAAAGAGGCAUUUUAUGUGGCGAAAUCACUUAUGUCUGGUGUUCGAGCUGCUGUCGUAUAAUCUGUAUGACCUACUUAGAAAUACGAAUUUCCGAGGAGUGUCAUUAAAUCUGACAAGAAAGUUUGCACAGCAACUGUGUACUGCCCUCUUGUUCCUGUCUACACCGGAAUUGAACAUCAUUCACUGUGAUCUGAAACCCGAAAACAUCCUUUUAUGCAAUCCCAAACGAAGUGCGAUAAAGAUAGUCGACUUUGGUAGUUCAUGUCAACUUGGACAAAGAAUAUAUCAGUAUAUUCAGUCCAGGUUCUACAGAUCACCAGAAGUUCUAUUAGGAAUACCUUAUGACCUCGCGAUAGACAUGUGGAGUCUGGGAUGUAUUUUAGUAGAAAUGCACACGGGAGAACCUUUAUUUAGUGGGGCCAAUGAGGUCGAUCAAAUGAACAAAAUUGUAGAAGUACUAGGAAUGCCGCCGAAACAUAUAUUGGACCAAGCGCACAAGGCGCGGAAGUACUUUGACAAAGUCCCCACGGAUGGCUCGUAUGUGCUGAAAAAAUCCAAGGAUGGUAAAAAAUACAAACCUCCUGGCACGAGGCGCUUACACGAUAUUCUAGGUGUUGAGAGCGGCGGCCCCGGCGGCAGGAGGAUAGGAGAACCGGGUCACUCGAUGUCCGAUUAUCUCAAGUUCAAAGACCUAAUCGUACGGAUGUUGGAUUUCGAUCCGAAGACGAGGGUAACGCCGUAUUAUGCGCUCCAACACAACUUCUUUAAGAGGACGGCCGAUGAGGGGACCAACACGAAUGUCGCUGCUGCCAAUAGCGCGAGCACGAGUCCGGCAGUGGUGUCGAUGAGCCAGGAUCACGAUAUGAUGGGGGGACAAUACGUGGCUCGAUGACUGUCGUAUCCGCGGGGCGGCGACGACCUGUCCUAGGCCCCAACCCUAAUCUUACUUACUAACAUAAGACUGGUAACCAUGUCGGGACAGGGUGGCAGCGGCAGCAGCAGCAGCGGCGGCAGUCUGCAGCAGAUGCAGGCGUCGAGUCUCCCUGGUGGCGGUUAUCAACCCAUGGACUGCGAGUCCUCGCCUCGUCACACGGGCGGUCGGCGUGCC